GUAGUGAAAUGGUUACAUAACCAUUUGAAAAUUAUAACUAAAACCUCGAAUUUAAAAUCCCUCGGCCUUUAGGCUGUGCGGGUUCAAGUCCCGCCCUGGGCACCA
rnacentral:tRNA from 1 species